ACGGGAGGCAGCAGUGGGGGAUAUUGCACAAUGGAGGAAACUCUGAUGCAGCAACGCCGCGUGAGGGAAGAAGGUUUUCGGAUUGUAAACCUCUGUUUUUAGUGAAGAAAUAAAUGACGGUAGCUAAAGAGGAAGCCACGGCUAACUACGUGCCAGCAGCCGCGGUAAUACAUAGGUGGCAAGCGUUGUCCGGAUUUACUGGGUGUAAAGGGUGCGCAGGCGGGACUGCAAGUCGGAUGUGAAAUACCGGGGCUCAACCCCGGAACUGCAUCCAAAACGGUAGUUCUUGAGUGGAGUAGAGGUAAGCGGAAUUCCGAGUGUAGCGGUGAAAUGCGUAGAUAUUCGGAGGAACACCAGUGGCGAAGGCGGCUUACUGGGCUCUAACUGACGCGGAGGAACGAAAGCAGGGGUAGCAAACAG
rnacentral:rRNA from 1 species